ACUGGAGUUCCCAUUCACUUUAUAACGCUCCCCUAUGGAUCGGAUCGCUCUGUAGUUUUGCAGAUCUCAGACACUAUUCCCAUGGGGGGGGGUAAAAGAGCAAAUUAAUUAGAGCUGGAAGUUGUAGCUGAAAAGUGCUGCUAGUGAAGAAGUAACUUAGGGACCAAGGAAAGAGGCUUCAGUACCUGCCUAUGGGACGGACCUGCCGUAUGUGAAGCCACGCCCCCUUUUUUCUAUUGGCUCGCGGAGCAAGCAACAAUGAAGCAGGUGUGUGAGAAUGUUGCUGAGCCGGGUUUGCUGAAAAGAGGAGGCAGUUUUGGGGUACAGUACAGCUGUCCAUUUGUGCUCCUCCCACAUACAGAAGACAGAACCUUCGAAAGUGAAGCUUCAUAGCAGGGUCCCUUCUAACUGUAGCACCAAACGCCCUGAUGGCUUCUCUGCAGAGCUGCUGCUGAACAAAGCUUGGCUAGGAAAGACUGGUUCAUUCAAGAAGAAAAGGACAAAGCCCCAGACAGGCCCUGGGUGUGAAUCUCCAGACUUCUGUGAAUCUCCAGACUUCUCCUGAUUCAUGGCUGCC